AUCAUUUUAAAUUUUUAAAAAUUCUGUCCAGUACAACCGAUUAACCACCACCUCCUCAUCUUCUGGUUCAAACUUGACCCAUGGCUCUAGGGAACUACAGCCAUGUGUUGUAAAUGUAUGUGUAUGGGUGUGAUCCAUGCUUCCACACUGUCAUUUCUCAUCCUUCCCCCUUCUCUCCAUCUUUCUCUGCCUCCACAGGAGAAAGGGAAUAGGGGAAGUGGGAAACAUGUUCAUAUUUCACUGGGUCUGCAGUUAUGUCUUCCAUUAGAUAUUGCCACUCCUCCUUAGGAUCCAGAUUAGUCUGGGUGGCAGGUGCCCCAACAAAGGCUCUCUUAUAGGGUUCAUGUGUAUGCUUUUGCACAGUUGUGCUUUUGGUCUAUUCCAUUCCUCCCUAAAAUACAACUACACCAAUACCAUUAGAAAUACACCUCACCCUUUGCAGCCAGAGUUCCCACGUGAGUGUGGAGUUGCUCUCCUGGGUGCCACUGGCAAGGUGACUCCAAAUUACCUUCUCUGGAGUCUUGAUCCUCAGAAGAGUUAUCCAUUCUUUUUUUGUUUGUUUGUUUUUUAGGGCUUCAGCUGCAGCAUAUGGAAGUUCCCAGGCAAGGGGUCCAAUCAGAGCUGUAGCUGCAGGCCUAUACAACAACCACAUCAACAUGGGAAUCUGAGCCACAUCUGUGACCUACACCACAGCUCAUGGCAAUGCUGGAUCCCUGACCCACUGAGUGAAGCCAGGGAUCAAACCUGCAUCCUCAUGGAUACUAGUUGGAUUCGUUUCUGCUGUGCCAUGAUGGGAACUCCAAGUUAUCCAUUCUUAUCACACAAAUCUCCAUUCUCUACACUAUGAUCUUCCUCUAUCCUCUUCCUCAAAGAGACACUGGGUAGACCAAAACUCCACCACAUAAGCAGCUGUCUAAGUAGGAAAUAAGAUGCAAGUCUUUCCUUGACAUUACACCCAUCCUUUGGCACUGAUUCUCUUGAGGCCUCUCUCAUUGGUUUUGAGAUGAAAAGGAAAAGGCAGCAGCACUUUCCCUCCUUGGUAAGCUACUGAUAAUUCUUAUGCUGCUCACUUCCCUCUCUGUCAUUUCCUUUUUUAAAUUUGAGGAAAGGGAGAACAGGUUGAUCAUAGGUGGUACCAGAAGGUCUUCCUAUUUCUUACUCAGCAUGAGUGCUGAGAAAGGCCCGGUUGUUGGAAGAUUUUUGGUUGUUCUUGUUCUAUAAUAUUGAAUAAUAUUUUCCCCUCUAUUGGGGGUCCUACUCCUCUCUUCGACUCCAGGGCAAGAGGAAAAAAUCCUAUUUACCACCCCUGAUACAUACCUGAUACCAUUUAACCCUCAUGAAGAAAUGUAAAGAAAUAAAUUGCCAUUUUAUUGACAAGGACAUUGAGACUCCAAGAGGCUAAGAAAGAACCUACUGCUUCUCCCUAUAAGGGGAAGAGCCAGGAGAUGAACCUGGCCUGGCUGACUUUAAGGUUUUUCUCUGUCCACUCCACCAGUGGUGGCCAUCUAUAUACAGAGUUUAAUAAAUAACAUGUUUUGUCUAGGAGCCCCAGUUUUCUAUAAUGAUCGGUCAUCUCCUAGACUUAGGUUCCUCCUGUUCAAAAGAGGAUUACAUAUAGUGUCUAUCCUCAGAGGACUCUUUGGAGGAUACAGUGUUAUAAUAAAUCUAUAGUGCUUAGCUCUAAGGGGAGGUACAUGUGAGCUCUGACUUAUCAUUCUGCAGAGAGCUGGCUCAGGCAGACAGUACUACUAGAUGCAUUAUAAAAAGUGUUUGAAUUGAUAAGAUAGCCCUCUUCCUAUGCAAAGGGAAGUGUAGUAGGGAUUAUUUGACUGACUUUCUGCUCAUAAAGGAAAGAUCCUCCACAUGCAGCCUCUGGCAUCAGCCUGUUGCUAUAGAUCUCAGCAAGGUGUCUUCCUGCAAAACUCCUGGUAAGAGUAAAGAAAGGAGCUUUCACGGCCAUCCCAUCUUUGUCUCUCCUUGAGAGUUAUAACAAUUGCUAUAAUUUUGUUAAAAAUAGUAAUGAUCCACAUGGUAAUCACAAAUAUCAUAUACACAGAGGAUUAUAUAUAGGGCUCCACACAAAUAAUUAGCUCUCUGUGCCUGGAAAACUUUCAACUGAAGGCUGGGUGGUCAUUUUCCAACCAUCUGAAGAGAGGAUUCCUGCACUGGGUUAAAGGUUGAAGAGGAUGACCCAUGGGUUUCCAUUUCACUCUGGACUUCUCUCAGACAAUGACAUUUUUGAGCUGGUUGUGUGGAUCCAAGCUUUCCUUCUUGGCUUACUCCACUCCAUGCUGUUUACAUUUUGAGUCAAUCAGUGUAUCCCAUUCCCAAGGGUGGCCAGUUCAUUUGCAUCAUAGAACAGUUAUCCUGACAAGGAAGAAAAACAGAGCUCCUUCCUUGAGCCAAACAUACCAUGUUUGUUUUUCCCUUCCCCAAAUAGGCAGACAGUUUAUUUAGAGAGCCCGGUGGAUCAGCUCUUAUUAUAUAUAAUAUUAUUCCUAAUAGACAUGUUUGCUCCCAUCCGUGAGACUGCACUCUGGGGAGCUGUGAGAUUAUUUCUUCCAUUUUGCUGGAUCGUAUUUAAUACAGAUGCAAGCCAGAUUUCUGGUAGUGUGGCAUAAUCUCAUUGGAAUAAUCAAUUCCUUCCGUUCCAGAACCAACGGACAUUUACUCUUGCCUGCAAGGAGUACUUAUUGGAUACUUUUGAAUUUCUCCAUCACUAUUCACUACCAAAAGAAACACUGCUCUAGGGCCAGACUCACACAGCCUCAUUUCUUUGCGUUUACAAAGACUUUUCAGGUUGGUUUAGUGUGAACUUCUGGUGAACAACUGCAUCUGUGAAAGUUAAUGUCCUGUACCUUAGCCCAGAUGAAUAAAUCCAUCUCUUUAUUGGCAGUAUGAAGACUUUCUGUUUCUUAAACACUUAAAGUUCUUUUUUUGCAUUAGGAACCUUUUUUAGCCAAGACCAUCUGAUUUCUGAAACAGAGUUUUUGUAUGUUCCCAGUUAAGUAGAAAAGGCAAAGAUGAAAAAUU
rnacentral:lncRNA from 1 species